GUAGUUUAUUUAUUUAAAAAUGGCUUCCUUAGUGUUUUCGGUGUUGAAGGUUAGCCCUGCACUAAAAUUGGGAUAUUCACCACUAAAAUAUGGUGGUUUGUUAUCUGUCAGGCACAAAACAUGGUAUCCAGAUAUUGAAUUUCUUAAACAGUUUGAUGGACCUGUUAUGUAUCCAAAUGAGAUUACAUCCAAGUGGCAAGUGCCUUCACUUAAAG